rnacentral:rRNA from 1 species
UACGUAGGGUGCGAGCGUUAAUCGGAAUUACUGGGCGUAAAGCGUGCGCAGGCGGUUUUGUAAGCCAGAUGUGAAAUCCCUGGGCUCAACCUGGGAAUUGCAUUUGUGACUGCCCGGCUAGAAUCUGGCAGAGGGGGGUAGAAUUCCACGUGUAGCAGUGAAAUGCGUAGAGAUGUGGAGGAAUACCGAUGGCGAAGGCAGCCCCCUGGGCCAAGAUUGACGCUCAUGCACGAAAGCGUGGGGAGCAAACAGG